GGUCUCGUGGUGUAGCGGUUAUCACGCCUGCUUUACACGCAGGAGGUCGCCGGUCAGAUCCCGGCUGAGGUCA
rnacentral:tRNA from 1 species